UGACAGAGUCUCAACAUGACUCAUGAAUGGUCAGAAGAAAGGAACACCUCUAGGAAUGCAUGUACACUGACACUGUACUUUCUGUCUUAAAGGAAAUUGCUGCCAUAACACAUGUACCUUCUUCAAUCAACAGAAACAAGCUGGCAUCUCAUACUGAAGUAAGAGAGCUAAACAAAAUCGAAUCAAAUGAGAUAAAAACUAAACAGAAACAAAACACCUCCCACUAAGCUUGACCAUCCUUAAUGCAAGAAUCAGAUAAGCAGGAGAAAUAUUGUGACUUCUUUUUCACAGCUCCUUCUGUCCUUCUGUCUAGGUGUAGCAAACGUAAUUGCUGAAGACUUGUUGCUGUUGUUUCUUUCUAUGUAUAUUCUCCCAUCUUUGCAUAUAGGAUGGCACAUCGGUUUUUUUCUUCCUUUUUUUUUUUUUUUUUUUUUCCAAAUGGUGGCAUUUCAGUUCAUUUAGCUGAAGUCUUGACUCAAAGCCAACAGUAGUCAUUCAAUGUUAAAAAAGCUAGAUUUUUAAAUCUACCUUCACAGAUAUAUAGGAGUGUUCUGCUUGUCAAACAAAUGACCUGUUGUCUAUGAAGGUGCUCUUGCUCUGAAAUACCAUUAUCACUGCCUUUUGCAUAACAUACCCAGUCAAUGACAGAGCCUUCAUGUGUCCAG
rnacentral:lncRNA from 1 species